GACGAACGCUGGCGGCGUGCCUAAUACAUGCAAGUCGAACGCAGGGGGGACGGGUGAGUAACACGUGGGUAACCUCCCAUCAGAGGGGAGAACACUUGGAAACUGGUGCUAAACCGAUAUUGGUGUAUGUACCCGCGGUGCAUUAGCUAGUUGGUGAGGUAACGGCUCACCAAGGCCACGAUGCAUAGCUGACCUGAGAGGGUGAUCGGCCACACUGGGACUGAGAAACGGCCCAGACUCCUACGGGAGGCAGCAGUAGGGAAUCUUCGGCAAUGGACGAAAGUCUGACCGAGCAACGCCGCGUGAGUGAAGAAGGUUUUCGGGUUGUAAAACUCUGUUGUCAGAGAAGCGGUAUCUAACCAGAAAGCCACGGCUAACUACGUGCCAGCAGCCGCGGUAAUAC
rnacentral:rRNA from 1 species